UGAGGCUGGGUAAGAGAGUCCUA
rnacentral:misc_RNA from 1 species